CCUACGGGCGGCUGCAGUGGGGAAUAUUGCACAAUGGGCGCAAGCCUGAUGCAGCCAUGCCGCGUGUGUGAAGAAGGCCUUCGGGUUGUAAAGCACUUUCAGCGGGGAGGAAGGCGUUAAGGUUAAUAACCUUGGCGAUUGACGUUACCCGCAGAAGAAGCACCGGCUAACUCCGUGCCAGCAGCCGCGGUAAUACGGAGGGUGCAAGCGUUAAUCGGAAUUACUGGGCGUAAAGCGCACGCAGGCGGUCUGUCAAGUCGGAUGUGAAAUCCCCGGGCUCAACCUGGGAACUGCAUUCGAAACUGGCAGGCUAGAGUCUUGUAGAGGGGGGUAGAAUUCCAGGUGUAGCGGUGAAAUGCGUAGAGGUCUGGAGGAAUACCGGUGGCGAAGGCGGCCCCCUGGACAAAGACUGACGCUCAGGUGCGAAAGCGUGGGGAGCAAACAGGAUUAGAUACCCGUGUAGUC
rnacentral:rRNA from 1 species